CACCGCGCCGCCACCCCAAGCGCUGCCUCCGCGGGGGGCGCUUCGCCGUCCUCACCUUUCCCGAGGGGCUCCGGGCUUGCGGGACCCGAGCGGCGCCGAUCCCGGAGCCGGCGAGGCUGUGUACUGACGUGUCACCAAGUUGCAACAUGGAAAAUACAGUGUCAUGCAUAUGUCCAGGUGGUUUAAAUCAUCCUGCCUGCCAAAAGCACAAGGCACAGCCCUGCCCUGCCUGUUGAGCCCUGUUCCUGCUGCUACGCUGCCCACCUCACCUUCUGCCAGCACGGUGUUUGCAUGGCUGCACAGGGAAUUGGGCUGUGCAGGAGAAGCUACUGCAGAGAAAAUAAAUCAGUUCUCACUCAGAGCAGAAUGCAGAUCACAAGGCAAUUGCACAAAGACUUGUGCCAGCACAAAGGCAGGAAAGGAGCAAGGGCUGAUAAAAGCAGCUGAGAGAGGAUGGAGCCUGGAAGUGCUUUUUAAGCAAUGUUUAUGCCAGCUUAAACUGUAUGUGAAACUCUAGACACAGAUAAUUUGGAAGUGGACACCUGCUCUGUAUUUUUCAAUUCUCCUUCAAGACUGGCCCAGAGUUCAUCUCAGGCUUAACACAGAAGUUUCUUUGAAGCACGGCUGCUUCUUUGGUUGCUAUGGCUUGCUUCCAUUUCUAGAUUAAAAAAUUGGCCAGAAAACAUGGUGGAAGUCAUGCCCGGGAUAUACUGGGAAGGUUGUACACACUGCUGUAGGACAUGUAACACUGGUGUAUGCUAGUGUUAAUCUAGCUAGUUUGAUCAAUGUUAGCUGUAACUACAUGGUGUCAUUAGGUUUAUGCCAUUUGUUUCAUCAGUUUUGUAAUCUGAAGAGGUGAAAAAUGGCUCACCUGAAAGCCCUCUCUACAUUAUUUUUGCUUGCUUUCCAGAAUGAAAUACGUGCAGGUAUGUCUGCACAUGCUGCAAUCACACACCCCUGCAGUUACACCCCAAGACAUAACUAGCAGGAUUAGUUUCAUGACUAAAAGACAACUUGCAUGCCAAAAGACAACUUGCAUGACAAGUACUAGCCAAAAUAAGCUGCCUUUUCUCUUUCUGGGUGAUAGCAAGUGGAAAAUCUAAGGAAUUGUCUUUGGAAUUGGCUUAGAGGCGAUCUUGCCAUUCCUGGUGUACAUGAGGGGGUGAGUGUACACCCACAAACACCAGCAUGAUGCUACAUGCAGUCCCCAUGCUCACACAGCCGGGACUGUGAUUCCUGUUUCUUCAGCAGCCCAGUCUUUGGUGUCCUGUGGGAAAUGGCUUCUUGUCCUUCAUGGGAAAUGAAGAAAGAGCUUGUACCAGCUAUCAGCCAUCUAUGAGAUUCAUCUUUGUUGUUGUUUUCUUACCUGUUGGGUUUUUUAAAUAUUUUUUUUUAAAUAACGGUUUUAUGAAAGUGCCUAUAUGGUAUAUUUAACAUGAAAUUAUAAAUAUACUAUUAAAUAUCAAUUAAUUGUAGAAGUAUUAAGCACAAAAUUAUUUAACAUAGACCAGAAUGAUUAAAUACAGACAUGUGGCAGAAUAUGCCUGUGUGCAAUGGGUGUGGAUCAAGUACCUGCUUUGUGCAAAAUGGUUUUCAGAACUGGCAGGUUACAGCUUGUACAGUGUCUUUUGAUCAGGCAUGUGUUCAGUGUAAAAAGAACAUGUAACUGCUACAAAAAUGUCAAUAUAAUUAGUAAUAAGAUAGCCAUGGGAUAGCAAAAUAUUAACAAGAAAUCCAAUUCUUGAUUGUUUUACAAGAAUGGUUUUCUUAUCUUUUUCUGGCACCACAAUUUUUAGCCGAUCAUUAUACUCAGCUGUAAUCCACUCACUAGUACUCUGCUCAGCUGCCAUUUCAUUACAUACUUUAAAUUGUAAAUAUAUAUAGCUCAUACUCCUUCUUACAUUAAAUUUUCUGGUCCAAUGGACUUAAUUUGUUGUUCUAAUUUUGGCAGAUUUUUUUCUCUAAAAUGUAAUUCAGCUUACUACUGUUUUCUUUGUUUUAGAGCUGUACUGAAUUUAUUGUAGCUGUGCCCAUUUGUCUUUUCCAAGCUCCACUGAAGUAACAGUCCCUUCAUUUCUCUGAAUUUUUUUCCAAAUAGAUUGCUCAGUCACAGAGAGUUGGGGAGAGGCAGGCACAAUUCCACCACCUCUGAGGACCACCAAAGGAAAAUAACAAAACAGAACUUUCAACAAAUGAUUUAAAGUAUACUAUAAUAUUUUCUUUCUAAAAAACAAUUAUUAAUAUUUAUGUCAUUUACCUUUCUUCUAAAGUAAACGCAGGUACCGGAAUAAUGAAAAUUUUGGCCACCAUUGGCAGAGAAUUGGUUUGAAUUACAAAGAAAAUAUUAACUCCUUUUAAUGAUGUACUGUAGUAUACAGUAGCUUACAGUUUUUGCUACUUACUUAAUCCACUGGACAUUAAUUAGAAAAAAAAUCUGUCUAUUGGAGAUCUACUUUUUUUUCUCUUUGUAUUUAGAUAUUAAAUAAGACUAGAAAAUGUCCAUAAUAUUAGACUGCCUCAGAAAAACCAUUACUGUAGACAAAUCUGUUUAGCUGUAUCAUCUCUGUCCCCUUUCCUGUGAUUCCAAAUAGAGGUAAUCAACUCCCCCAAAACACAAGCACAGUUAUUAACAGUUUCUAGUUAUGACAGGAAGGAAACAAAAAUCCCUGUAAACCUAUAACUAGUUACUGGCAACAGUGCUAACUGAUCAGGAGCACCACAAAGAAGUUACAUGCCAGACAAGAGGAACAGGAGAAACACUAGGGCAGGAAUUACAAAUGGAAGGAAAUGUUGUAUUUCAAACAGACACUAGACAGCAACCUGCCAGUACUGCAGCCCUCAAGGGUCAGUCCUACAGAGAAUGAGGACAUCUAAAGAAAACCCAAGGCAAAACUGUCUCUCUGUUAUCUGAGAACAUCCACAAUGCUGCCGACAGUAGUCCUGUGCAGAAAUAAUGUACACCUGUGAAAAAACACAAAGAGUCGGCAAAUACAGAUAGCAGGUUCACUUGCUGGCUCGGACAGCAUCUGAAGAAAGAACUAUUUAAAAACACAAGAGGUGGUGUUAUAAUGAGGAAACCAUGGAGAGCAGAAAGCUUAUGAUUAUUGACAGAAGUUGAUAAAGAAAUGGAUUAUUGUCUGUUAGGAUGUUGGAAUAGCUACUGCUACCAUUAUCCUAUGUAUCUUUAUGUAAAUUUCCUUUAAUUGAGGUAUUCAUUUACAAUCAUUAUUUUCAUUGGUAAUGUGCUUUAUUUGCAUUUGAAAGCAAAAAGAGAAAAAAAAUUAAACACAACUGGCUGACCCCUACCAUGUGAGAAAGGGUUUGCUUUUUGUCACUCUGACCCAAAUGGAUUAGGGCCAGGAAAUAAGGUCAAGCUCUUACCAGUACCCCCAUGUGUCACAUUUUUAUUACAUGGAGUUUCCAAGAAAAAUAUUCCAAUUUGCAUCAGUAAUUAUUCAUUCUUUAUGCAUUAUCAUGUCAGUUUCUGGGUUUAUUUUGAAUUCAGAAAUUAUAUUUGAGUGCCAGGCCUAUUAAAAAGCAACCCUUUGUGAAAUACCCUUCAGCAGUUAGAUGUGAUAGAUUUUGUAGCUGUACAUACUCUUUUUUUCCCUUUUAAGAAUUUCCCCUUCUACAGCAGUCCCCUCAUCACUCGAGUCAUAAACCCCCAAGACCGUGGUUGGAUUAGGCUCCUUUGUGGAUUUGCAAGUUGCUGCCUCAGUCAGAAGAUGUCUGAGGGCUGCAAUUGCUAAAGCAGUGCCCAGGGCAGGUGGGGUGGGAGGCAGUGUCUCGGUGCUGUUGGACAGCACGAGGUACCAGCAUGCAGCGCCGUACCCUGCGUGCUCCUCUAAUGCUGACCACAGAGAGAAGCUUGACGUCAGGUUUUAGCCACCAGCCACAUCAGAGAGCUCCCUGUCCUGUGGGAAUUGGUUGGAGGCAGUGCUGCACCUUUCCAAGAGAGGAGGCAGAAAGGUGAGGCUCCUCUCCAGCCCAGGGCUGCCCAGCUCCACCACACUGCAAUGGGGAGACAUCUAGGGGGUGCCAGGGGUUCCAUGGGCACAGCUACAGUUCUGGACACAGGGCUCCAAAGAUAAGCUGCUAAAGAAGUUUCUGGUUUCACAAUUUUAAUGAUAACUUUUUAAUCUGGUCAUUAUUUUCUUUGAUUGCUAAUACCUUGACCUCUGGUGACUGCUGCUGCUUAUGCCUGCUAAACUUUAAUGCAGGCUACAGUAAAGAACAUUAUGAUUAUUUGAAAAGGCAGAGUGUAAUGCAUUUCAGAUUAACAGCGAAAGAAAAGCUAUUGAAGUUAGAGGUUCACUUUGCCAUAUCACUCUAUGCUGCUUUCCUUAUUAUCAGUACAAAAAAAUGAAAUGAGAAUAGCACAUCUUUUAAUUUCCUUCUACUAUUACCUCUUGAUUUGCAUUCAGAGCUCCCAAAAGAAAUACUGCUGAAUUCAGAAGUAGUCUAUUUAAGCUGCAUGGUGUUUAAAAUUUGCUGGAAGAGGUUAAGGUGCUCUAUAUUAUGCAGUUGACCUUACUAAGAAGCUGUGUUAACAAUUUAGAUUUAUAAUUUUGUUAAUUUUUUUUCCCAAGCAAAAUUCAUUAUCUCUUUUUGUACCCCUGAAGGUUAAAUCUUUUGAUUUCUCUCUAACUUAUUUUGUGAGGUUUCUAAAUUAUAUUUAAAUUUCUUGUACUUAAAAGGCUGCUUUGCCAAUGUCUAUGAAAAGAAGCAUUUUGUUUCUGUCUCUUUUUGUACCUGGUCUGAAGAGACUGUGUGCCCUCACAAUAUUUUACCUAGGAAGAAAGAACCCAAACCCACCAUCUAGAGAGUCCUGCAAAUACAUUUGAAUUCUUUUAUCUGCCACUGUUAUAUCUUUGUGGCUGACUGGGUUUGAACAAGUUGUCCAUGGAAAAUAUUUUGAAUCCUGCCUUUACCAAACAGUUGUAGCCUCCUGGUGUGCAGAAAGAAAUCCUAACAAAUGAACAAAAGUGAAAUGUGCCAGCGUAGGGAGAGCUGUACCCUGUGACUCCUUAGGCUCUGCAGCUCUGAACAGUGGUGUUUGUGUUCUCUACUGCUGCCUGACCAAAAAAAGGCCAGUGGUGGAACCCUGUAAUGCAGAACAUUUUCCAAAAUGCCCAAGGUGUCACCACCCUAGCUCAGUGGUCCCCAGCAGUGGAUAUUUAUUAUGGACACUGCCUCCUGGUCAUAUCUCACCUGAAAACUCAUACUACAGUUAUGACUCUGCCAGUAAAUAAAACAGGACCAGGAGCUCUGGGCUCUGGUCAUGCAGCAGGGACCAGCCAUACCAGCACUGUAUGGCCUGUGACCCUCAGACAUAAUCAUCCUGAUUAGGAUUUAGAACAGGUUUAUGUUUGUUCAGCCUGCAGUGUUGCAGUGAGGAGGGCGCUGUGCUGUAGUGUUUAUGCUGUUCAUGCAAGUGGGUGUGAUGGAGGUGCAGAGCACCUUGGGCCCCACUGGAGGACUGUGGGGGUGGGACAGAGACAGGACAGACAGCUCUGUAGUCUCCCCUGGAAAUGGCCCAGCUGCAUGAUCCCCUGUAAGUAAUGGCUGGACACUCUCCUGCAGGGGUAGCUGGCAUGGGCCGAAACCAGGCCAAGCGCUGCAGCUAAAGCAGGAUGAACCAUGAGCAGAGCGGUGCUGGGACUGCCCAAUCCCUGCAGCCAGGCCUGCAGAGCCAUCUGAGAGUCAGCAGCAAGGCGGUGCCCGCAGUGCAGCAGGAACAAGUCGUGACGCGCAGCUGCGAGCACAGGGUGAAGUCAGGAUGGAUGUUCUGACAUUUCAGUGUUUCUUGAGUUCCUAUUCAUUCUCCACUCUAGUGCAACAGUAGUCCUAAAGCCAAAGCAAUAUAUUGACAGCUGCCCUCCUGUUGUAAAGUCAACACAGGGGGGAAGGGUAGCACAGAUCCUAGAACCAGAUAGUAGUUUUAUUUAUCUAAUCUCUAGGUAUUUAGACAGUGAUUAGAACCAUAGCAACUACCUGAGCCACUUGAAUGAGUUAAAUACAGAGAUAGCAACACUUGUUAUUUAUACAGCACCCUUUAUUGGGAAAUUUUAAAAUGUCAGAUACCUGUGUCAUUGAGUAGGUAAACUGCAUUCAUUUUUUGAUAUGGAGGUGCCAUAAAACCUCUCUUUGUAUCACUGGGACACAACUACAUGAUAGAGACUGUUGGCAACAAAUAAGUAAAACAGUUAGAAGUUCUAAAGAAAAAAAGAAUAAACCAAAGGGAUAAAAACAUACUAAACGGAUGAAGAAUUGGUCUAUACACAGAGCCAAGCCAAAACUUGGCAGCUUUAUAAACCAGCUAACACAGAAAUAAAUGAAAGUCCAAACAAUAGGAACAAACCUGGAAUAAAUAAAAUCAUGAACUCAGAAAUGUUACCAACUGAUUGCAAAGAUAAAAAUGCCUGUUGAAGUAAUUGUGUCCCUGUAGUUUAUUCUACUGCAUACUUUGCUUCUGGGAAGAUUCUGUAUCUGAAAAAGCCAUAUGAAGUAUAUUCAUUGAACAGCACAAAUGGAAAUAAAUAUUUCUCACUUGAAA